AGUGAAGAAGGCCUUCGGGUUGUAAAGCUCUUUCGGUCGGGAAGAAAUAGGUUAUGGCUAAUAUCCAUAAUGAAUGACGGUACCGACAUAAGAAGCACCGGCUAACUACGUGCCAGCAGCCGCGGCAAUACGUAGGGUGCAAGCGUUAAUCGGAAUUAUUGGGCGUAAAGGGUGCGCAGGCGGAUGUAUAAGUCAGAUGUGAAAUCCCCGGGCUUAACCUGGGAAUUGCGUUUGAAACUAUAUGACUAGAGUGUGAUAGAGGGGAGUGGAAUUCCAUGUGUAGCAGUGAAAUGCGUAGAGAUGUGGAAGAACACCGAUGGCGAAGGCAGCUCCCUGGAUUAACACUGACGCUCAUGCACGAAAGCGUGGGGAGCAAACAGGAUUAGAUACCCUGGUAGUCCACGCCCUAAACGAUGUCAACUAGUUGUCGGAUCUGUUAAAAGAUUUGGUAACGUAGCUAACGCGUGAAGUUGAACCGCCUGGGAAGUACGGUCGCAAGAUUA
rnacentral:rRNA from 1 species